UCUCAUCUCUUCUCACUUUGCUCUCUUUUUCUUUUUCAUUUUGUCUCAACACAACACACAUACACACACUCCUCUCCCUCACUCUCCCACCGGUACACUCCUCAUCACCUCCACCAUUUUUCCGGCAAGAUCACCAGAAAACCCUCAAGAACAUCACACCUUCACAUAAGUUAUUUGAGGUUCUAACUAAUUUCAUUUGGAGCUUGGAAAAUUAAUCUUUUGUCGGUUGCAAGCUUUUUGGUGGCUAGCAAUAGUUAGACUAAUUGCUGAUGGAGGCUGACUUUUAUGAUGGAGAUAAUUGUUGAUGUAUAACUUAGAGUAAGCUUGACCCAAUUCUUUUGUAUCUAAUAGUGGUUAUGCCUUUAUUUCCCACUAAUGGGACAAGUUGAUGUUAUGUAAUUAUUUAUUUAGACCUCCAUUCUUUUGUGACCAAUAAUCAUUGUAUUUAUUGUAUAGAGCUCUGACUUACUUUGGAAGUAUAUUUAAUGGAAUUAUUAGGAUGAUUCUUGA